rnacentral:rRNA from 1 species
GAUGAACGCUGGCGGCGUGCCUAAUACAUGCAAGUCGAGCGAACAGACGAGGAGCUUGCUCCUCUGACGUUAGCGGCGGACGGGUGAGUAACACGUGGAUAACCUACCUAUAAGACUGGGAUAACUUCGGGAAACCGGAGCUAAUACCGGAUAAUAUAUUGAACCGCAUGGUUCAAUAGUGAAAGCCGUUUUUGCUGUCACUUAUAGAUGUAUCCGCGCCGCAUUAGCUAGUUGGUAAGGUAACGGCUUACCAAGGCGACGAUGCGUAGCCGACCUGAGAGGGUGAUCGGCCACACUGGAACUGAGACACGGUCCAGACUCCUACGGGAGGCAGCAGUAGGGAAUCUUCCGCAAUGGGCGAAAGCCUGACGGAGCAACGCCGCGUGAGUGAUGAAGGUCUUCGGAUCGUAAAACUCUGUUAUUAGGGAAGAACAAAUGUGUAAGUAACUAUGCACGUCUUGACGGUACCUAAUCAGAAAGCCACGGCUAACUACGUG